rnacentral:rRNA from 1 species
UACGUAGGGGGCGAGCGUUGUCCGGAAUCAUUGGGCGUAAAGCGCGUGUAGGCGGCUCGAUAAGUCUGCUGUGAAAGUCCAGGGCUCAACCCUGGGAUGCCGGUGGAUACUGUCGGACUAGAGUACGGAAGAGGCGAGUGGAAUUCCCGGUGUAGCGGUGAAAUGCGCAGAUAUCGGGAGGAACACCAAUGCGAAGGCAGCUCGCUGGGACGUCGACUGACGCUGAGACGCGAAAGCGU